UAAUCGGUGGUAAAUCUCAUCGAAGGCUAAAUAGCGGCUGGAGACCGAUAGCGAACAAGUACCGUGAGGGAAAGAUGACAAGCACUUUGAAAAGAGGGUGAAAAGAGCCUGAAACCGUCACGGGGGAAGCGGAUCGCGUUGGAUUGAUGGGCGCUUGCGUGUUCAGCCCUUUGGGUGCAUUGGCGCAAGUUGCUUAUCCGCUGUGAGUUUUCGGGGGUCGAUUUUGGACCCCUGGGGACUGAGGGCUCCCUUUUACAGGUGAGGACAGCGGAGUGACGACGCGAUACGACCCGUCUUGAAACACGGACCAAGGAGUCUAGCGCGGGUGCGAGUCGGAGGGUGCAAGCCCGUGGGCGAAGUGAAAGCGAGUGUAAAAACGAGCAGUUUGGGGCGGCAUAAGAUCGUUGAUCUUAAGACCGACCCAGAGCAGUUGCGCUGGGACCCGAAAGAUGGUGAACUAUGCCGGAGUAGGGCAAAGCCAGAGGAAACUCUGGUGGAGGCUCGUAGCGGUGCUGACGUGCAAAUCGCUCGUCGAACUUGGGUAUAGGGGCGAAAGACUAAUCGAACCAUCUAGUAGCUGGUCCCUCCGAAGU
rnacentral:rRNA from 1 species